rnacentral:SRP_RNA from 1 species
CCGUGCUAGACGGGGAGGUAGCGGUGCCCUGUAUCCGCAAUCCGCUAUAGUGGAGUUGAAUUCCUGUCCGAGGCUUACAAGUGUAAAGCAGUUAUGAUUGAGUUGCGAUGAGAAUCGGGUCUUGCGCAACUUAGAAACGUGAACCCCGUCAGGUCCGGGAGGAAGCAGCGGUAAGCGUGACUCUGGGUGUGCCGCAAGCCAGCCUGAUUUGAGUAUACUUGCUCAUGGUACGUUUGUACUUGUAUGUCGAAGGCAGGUGCACGG